CCACACGAAGUAGCCCUGCAAGUUCGACCCGUCCCUGAAGAUCACCCCGACAACCAUCAGAUUUGAGCAAAAUUGGUGAGUAAAUCGCAUCAGUUUUUCCUUUUUUCAGAAGAUGUCAUACAGAAAUUGCUCUGUUUACUGAAGCUACUGAACGGCCUUUUCUGGGUGGGUACCUGAUGGAUUCAAGCGCGGCUUCGAUGUAGUCCUGCAGGUACUGCGACCUGAACUCGUCGUCGUAGGUGUUCCCGCCCGAGGGGUCAGGCAUGCUCGCAGCUCCUGAUACGAGCACCAGGAUCGAAUCAGAUGUCGUGUGGUGUAUUUAAUUUUUUGCAGUGAAAUGUUGCUGAUUUCUUGGGAUGAUGCAUGUUUCAGGUUAACUGUAGAGUUGGUGAGUUUACCGUUCUCGUGGAUCAUGACCACCGGGUUCUUGUAUUUCAACUGCAGAUGCCCCAGCAUUUUCUUCAGAGCCCAUGGCGUCGACGUCAUGAUGUCACUUUUCAACCCGAACAGGAACGGCUGUAUUUUAAUUUUGUCCGCAGAGGCAGAGAAAUGAUUUAGCUAUAUCAAUAAAGGAAGAUUUUAUAGUAACUUAUGGUCGCAUAAAAUUAAAUAUAUGGAGUGGAUUGUAUUGUAUUCGGCAG
rnacentral:lncRNA from 1 species